GACGUAGGGCGCGAGCGUUGUCCGGAUUUAUUGGGCGUAAAGAGCUCGUAGGCGGCUUGUCGCGUCGUCCGUGAAAACCUGCAGCUCAACUGCAGGCUUGCGGUCGAUACGGGCAGGCUGGAGUUCGGUAGGGGAGACUGGAAUUCCUGGUGUAGCGGUGAAAUGCGCAGAUAUCCGGAGGAACACCGGUGGCGAAGGCGGCUUCCUGGACCGACACUGACGCUGAGGCGCGAAAGCUAGGGGAGCAAACGGG
rnacentral:rRNA from 1 species